rnacentral:RNase_P_RNA from 1 species
AAAGUGCCACAGAAAGCAAACCGCCGACACACCACGAGGUCUGCCGGUAAGGGUGAAAGGGUGCGGUAAGAGCGCACCGCGCGCUCGGUGACGGGCGUGGCAGGGUAAACCCCACCGGGAGCAAGACCGAAUAGGAGAGGCCGGCGGCUUCGGGCCGCGGAUGGGUUUCCGCAUCGCCUUUCGGGUAGGUCGCGCGAGGCGUCCGGCAACGGACGUCCCAGACGAAUGGCCAUCCAUCGCCCGCAAGGGUGGGGACAGAACCCGGCUUACAGGCCGUCUGACGCU